GCCCUCAGCUAACCUCCUCUCCAACUCCUGUGCUUUCUCCUUAGUCAAAACAUCUCAUCUAAUCCGCUGUUGUCCCCGAGCACCCCUCCUCUUCCUCUUUACCCAGAGACCGACAUCCAUCACUAGGAGUCUAUGAAAAGUCGAAAGGGACUCUCCCGGAAUAACCUUGCAGUCCUUGCACAUACCCCUAUCGCUCCUUCUGAGGAGGAUGUAAUCAAUCUGAGUCCUCNNNNNNNNNNNNNNGAGUCUAUAAAGAGUCGAAAGGGACUCUCCCGGAAUAACCUUGCAGUCCUUGCACAUACCCCUAUCGCUCCUUCUGAGGAGGAGGUAAUCAAUCUGAG
rnacentral:lncRNA from 1 species